rnacentral:rRNA from 1 species
GUCCACGCCUAAACGAAUGUCAACUGGUUGUCGGGGAAGGCAAUUCCUUGGUAACGAAGCUAACGCGUGAAGUUGACCGCCUGGGGAGGUACGGCCGCAAGGUUAAAACUACAAAGGAAAUUGACGGGGACCCGGCACAAGCGGUGGAUUAUGUGGAUCAAUUCGAUGCAAACGCGAAAAAACCUUAACCUACCCUUGACAUGUACGGAACCCCGCAGAGAUGCGGGGGUGCCCGAAAGGGAGCCGUAACACAGGUGCUGCAUGGCUGUCGU